GUAACAACACGUGCUUUGAGGUUAUUUUUUAAACUUUAUUGUAAAAUAAAGUGAAAAUGGUACGUUGUGUAGUGAAAUCGUGUAAAAAUUGCAACGAAACGUACUUGCCGGCGCAAGUAAGCUUUUUCCGAUUUCCGGAAAAUGCAGUAAUGUGUGAAGGCUGAAUAUAGAGAAUCGGAGAGAGUUUUAUGCCGAAAAAUAUUAAGAAUGCAAAUAUACGCUUAGCACACUUCACAGAAGAUUUGUUUGUGAGAAGUAA